rnacentral:rRNA from 1 species
AAUAGCCUAACGGCUGAACCAGCAACUUGGAGGAAUGUAUAGCGAAAGCUAAUUGUGUUAACAAUAACGCAAUAUCAACGACGUUGAAUAAAAUUCUGGAUAAGAUUUUGAUAAUGACAAUUUUUAUCCAUAUGUCUUGACCAAAUUACGUGCCAGCAGUCGCGGUAACACGUUGAAGACUAGUGUUAUUCAUCUUUAAUAGGUUUAAAGGGUACUUAGACGGCAAAUAAAGCCUUAAUUGGAACUAAUUUGCUAGAGUUACUUAUGAGGGGGCCUAAAAGUACUAUUGGUUUAGAGAUAAAAUUCUUCGAGACCACUUAUCAGUGGAUAAAAAAUGGCACAGGUAAAGGCGAAAGCGUCUCCCUAUGUGAUAACUGACGUUGAAGGACGAAGGCUUUGAAUAGCGAAUAGGAUUAGAUACCCUAGUAGUCGAAGCAGAGAAUGAUGAGUGUCAUAAACUAGAUUAAAUUUAGUUUAUAAAUGAAAGUGUAAGCACUCCACCUUAUGAGUAAAGUGGCAACGCCGGAAUUGAAAUCAUUAGACCGUUUCUGAAACCAGUAGUGAAGUAUGUUGUUUAAUUUGAUAAUCCACAAAAAACCUUACCACAACUUGAAUAUUUAUAUAUUGCUUAACUCCAUAAUCGAUGUAUAUUUACAAGCGUUGCACGGCUGUCUUCAGUUAAUGUCGUGAGAUUUGGUUAGAUCCAUUAAAUUAACGUAAACCCUUGCUUUAUUUUUAAAUAAUGCAUCUCGUCCACCAUAACGGAUAUGAUAAUAGGGACUAAGACAAGUCAUCAUGGCCCGAAUGUUGUGGGCUAUAGACGUGCCACGUAAUCCCCUACAAAAGGAUGUGAAAUUGUGAAAUUAAACUAAUCCUUAAAACUGGAAUAAUAAU